GGUCUGUUGGUGAAGCGGUUAACACACAUGGUUUUCAUCCAUGCACGCACGGGUUCGAUUCCCGUACAGACUACCA
rnacentral:tRNA from 6 species